rnacentral:ncRNA from 1 species
CGAAGUAGGAUAUGGCGCGUUAAGUGGUCAGUGGAUGGGGAGUUGCCCUGAAACGAAGAAUGGUUGUCAAUCAUUCGCGGUGCCGUAUCCGCACCCGUUG